GAAUACGAUCUAUUUAAAUCGUGCGUGGACCGCGAUCUUAUCAUUAUGUACAUAGUCGUGUAAAUACUCGUGUUCAAUUUAGCAUCCAUUCAAUUUGCAGUUAUAGAGACCAACGAGCUACAACGUCUAUAGCAAAUAUUGAUCUAAGUGCUUUGCAAAAAUCUCACGGUGAACAUAAUCUGACGACAAGCUGUACUAUAUAUCUCUAAGCCGAAAUGAAUGGCCACGCGAAACUUCUGAUUUUUGCCUUUUUGUUGAUUCUGUCGGUAAGCCAAGUAUUGGGGUGCAGAGGCCAAUGUUGGGAAGAUGUUAAGCCUCGUGACGAUUUUUGUUCGGAAAUAUUCAGAUACCAAUACACUACUAUGGAACCGGCAAAUGUGUUGUGUUACUGUUGCAGAAGAUUAUGAACAAUGAUGCAAUACACGUCGUAUCAACUGCAGAAACUUAAGAUAGGCACUACUGUAUAAUAUAAUAAUACUGAAAAGAAAUUCAGAAACAUAAUUUGAUAAAACAAAAACCAUCUCCGCUUAAAGAUUAUAUUUUAUUUUAAAAUGUUUAUUAUAAUAUAAUAAUAACACUAUGAAGGUAUUCUUUGUAUCAAUAGUAUGUUUAAAUUUUUACCUCGAAUGACAUUGUGAUUUAUACUAGGAAUACGUUUUUACUAAUUAUUAUCACACUAAGAUUUAAAUUACUGUAUUUGAUAAUGUUUUGAAAUAUUAGUUUUAUAGUAUAAUAAAUGCAAUAUACCUAAU